AGAGAUGGCCUUGGCCUCACCCAGCUGUGCUGUCCCCACCCAGCCGGCUGCUUUGACAUUUAAAGGACUAGUCCGAUCCUGCUGGGUCGCAUUCUUGAGCAACUCCGGCGCUGUGGCCCUGCACUUUCUGGAGGACUGAGUGUUUUACUCAGCCUUCACCUAUGAGGAGCCCGUGAGACCCAGGCAUGGAGCCCUUUGUGCCUCAGCCAGCCAAGCCCAGAUCCAGCCACGUGGACGUGUGCUGACAGCACCGUCGAUGCACAGUCUCCACCAAGCUGGGACAAAGGCAGAGCUAUCAGUAGCCACGUCGGGUAGAACAGAAGGCAUUCUGGGAACGCGGUGCUCUCACAUCCUGCAAAGUACAGGCCUGCAGAGCAGAUGGCAGGGACUUCAAAAGCUAAGUCACCUUGAAAGAUAAUGGCACAAAGG
rnacentral:lncRNA from 1 species